GGGAGGAGCUUUCGGGCUUCGACCGGCGUACGGGUGCGUAAUGCGUAUACAAUCUGCCUUUCACAUAGGGAUAGCCCGAAGAAAUUUGGAUUAAUACCUAAUGGUAUAUAGGGAUGGCAUCAUUUUUAUAUUAAAGCUGAGGCGGUGAAAGAUGAGUAUGCGUUCUAUUAGCUAGUUGGAGAGGUAACGGCUCCCCAAGGCUACGAUAGAUAGGGGUUCUGAGAGGGAUAUCCCCCACACUGGUACUGAGAUACGGACCAGACUCCUACGGGAGGCAGCAGUGAGGAAUAUUGGACAAUGGUCGGAAGACUGAUCCAGCCAUGCCGCGUGCAGGAAGACGGCCUUAUGGGUUGUAAACUGCUUUUGCAGGGGAAGAAUAAGGACUACGUGUAGUUUGAUGACGGUACUCUGCGAAUAAGCAUCGGCUAACUCCGUGCCAGCAGCCGCGGUAAUACGGAGGAUGCGAGCGUUAUCCGGAAUCAUUGGGUUUAAAGGGUCCGUAGGCGGGCUAAUAAGUCAGAGGUGAAAGCGCUCAGCUCAACUGAGCAACUGCCUUUGAAACUGUUAGUCUUGAAU
rnacentral:rRNA from 1 species